rnacentral:rRNA from 1 species
UUUCCCUCUUUCUGCAUGCUUUACACAUGCAAGUCGAACGGUAACAGGUCUUCGGAUGCUGACGAGUGGCGAACGGGUGAGUAAUGCAUCGGAACGUGCCCAGUCGUGGGGGAUAACGCAGCGAAAGCUGUGCUAAUACCGCAUACGAUCUAUGGAUGAAAGCGGGGGAUCGCAAGACCUCGCGCGAUUGGAGCGGCCGAUGUCAGAUUAGCUAGUUGGUGGGGUAAAGGCCCACCAAGGCGACGAUCUGUAGCUGGUCUGAGAGGACGACCAGCCACACUGGGACUGGGACACGGCCCAGACUCCUACGGGAGGCAGCAGUGGGGAAUUUUGGACAAUGGGCGCAAGCCUGAUCCAGCAAUGCCGCGUGCAGGAAGAAGGCCUUCGGGUUGUAAACUGCUUUUGUACGGAACGAAAAGGUCUGGGUUAAUACCCUGGGCUCAUGACGGUACCGUAAGAAUAAGCACCGGCUAACUACGU